rnacentral:rRNA from 1 species
GACGAACGCUGGCGGCGUGCCUAAUACAUGCAAGUCGAGCGCAGGAAACUGACGGAACUCUUCGGAGGGAAGGCAGUGGAAUGAGCGGCGGACGGGUGAGUAACACGUAAGGAACCUGCCUCAAGGAUUGGGAUAACUCCGAGAAAUCGGAGCUAAUACCGGAUAGUUCAACGGACCGCAUGGUCCGCUGAUGAAAGGCGCUCCGGCGUCACCUUGAGAUGGCCUUGCGGUGCAUUAGCUAGUUGGUGGGGUAACGGCCCACCAAGGCGACGAUGCAUAGCCGACCUGAGAGGGUGAUCGGCCACACUGGGACUGAGACACGGCCCAGACUCCUACGGGAGGCAGCAGUAGGGAAUCUUCCACAAUGGACGAAAGUCUGAUGGAGCAACGCCGCGUGAGUGAUGAAGGUUUUCGGAUCGUAAAACUCUGUUGUAAGGGAAGAACACGUACGAGAGGAAAUGCUCGUACCUUGACGGUACCUUACGAGAAAGCCACGGCUAACUACGUGCCAGCCGCCGCAGUAA